GACGAACGCUGGCGGCGUGCUUAACACAUGCAAGUCGAACGGAAAGGCCCUGCUUUUGUGGGGUGCUCGAGUGGCGAACGGGUGAGUAACACGUGAGUAACCUGCCCUUGACUUUGGGAUAACUUCAGGAAACUGGGGCUAAUACCGGAUAGGAGCUCCUGCUGCAUGGUGGGGGUUGGAAAGUUUCGGCGGUUGGGGAUGGACUCGCGGCUUAUCAGCUUGUUGGCGGGGUAGUGGCUUACCAAGGCUUUGACGGGUAGCCGGCCUGAGAGGGUGACCGGCCACAUUGGGACUGAGAUACGGCCCAGACUCCUACGGGAGGCAGCAGUGGGGAAUAUUGCACAAUGGGCGGAAGCCUGAUGCAGCAACGCCGCGUGCGGGAUGACGGCCUUCGGGUUGUAAACCGCUUUCGCCUGUGACGAAGCGUGAGUGACGGUAAUGGGUAAAGAAGCACCGGCUAACUGCGUG
rnacentral:rRNA from 1 species